GACGAACGCUGGCGGCGUGCCUAAUACAUGCAAGUAGAACGCUGAAGCGAGGAGCUUGCUCUUCUUGGAUGAGUUGCGAACGGGUGAGUAACGCGUAGGUAACCUGCCUUGUAGCGGGGGAUAACUAUUGGAAACGAUAGCUAAUACCGCAUAACAAUGGAUGACACAUGUCAUUUAUUUGAAAGGGGCAAUUGCUCCACUAAAAGAUGGACCUGCGUUGUAUUAGCUAGUAGGUGAGGUAAUGGCUCACCUAGGCGACGAUACAUAGCCGACCUGAGAGGGUGAGCGGCCACACUGGGACGGAGACACGGCCCAGACGCCUACGGGAGGCAGCAGUAGGGAAUCUUCGGCAAUGGGGGCAACCCUGACCGAGCAACGCCGCGUGAGUGAAGAAGGUUUUCGGAUCGUAAAGCUCUGUUGUAAGUCAAGAACGGGUGUGAGAGUGGAAAGUUCACACUGUGACUGUAGCUUACCAGAAAGGGACGGCUAACUACGUG
rnacentral:rRNA from 1 species